GGAAGGAUGGGUGAGCGGUUUAAACCGGACGCCUCGAAAGCGUCUGUACUUUAACGAGUACCGCAGGUUCGAAUCCUGCUCCUUCCGCCA
rnacentral:tRNA from 1 species